rnacentral:snRNA from 1 species
AGCUUUGUGCAGUGGCAGUAUCAUAGCCAAUGAGGUUUACUUGAGGUGUGAUUAUUGCUAAUUGACACUAAGCUGGGAGCGGACAAAGCUGAAGAAGCAAGCUGCUUUAUACUGCAGGGCUCCAAAAGACUUAGGAGUU